UCGAAAAACUCAGCGCUGAAAACUGGAGACCUCAGCGUCAAUAAUGCAACACUCAAGGCAUCCGUUGCUCAGCUGGAGCUUCAGCGGGCUGAUUGUGAGUCUGCACUGAUAGAAGAAAAGAUUGUGUCUCAGGAGAGGAAACAUCACGCUGGACUGUGCCAGUAUCAGGUUGCAGAGCUUCAAGUGGAGUUGGAUGAUCUGAGGGUAAAAUAUGAAAACGUUUUAAGAGAGACCGAGAAGACACAGGAUGGAAAAGAUACAGAAGUUGAGAAGGUGAGGCAGGAGCUGCAGGGGCGUGUGGACCAACUGAAGUCUUACCCCGAGUUACUGAGUGCAGCUGAGCAGAGCCUCUUCGAGUGCCAGGAGAACCUGCGACGCUCGGAGAGGAAGUGCUCAGAAAAGUCAGAGUCCGUAGGGCAACUGCAGGUUAAGGUGUGCAAUGUGAGCUGUGAGCCGUCAGAAUGUAAAAUGCAAAUCAUUUUCCAUCUGACCACUAGGCGGUAGUGCAACCCCAUGUAUCUGUCGACGCAGCUUGUGUUUUGGUCCUGCUGUGAGUUUGAUGUUUCUGAUUGCAGUGGAAACAGUUGUCCCCAUUUGUGAGUGUGUUCUGUGCCGUGCGAGUCCUUUUCAAACACCCGCGUGUUUCUAUCUAUCAGCAGGGAUGUUUUGGUGUGUAGAAAUAUUCACAUUAAGUCUUUGCAAGAUUGUAUUUUAUGCAGUUUUGCAUGUGAUGUGAAACCCGUCUUUUCUGCUUCCAGUCACUUGUAACCAGUACAGGUGAA
rnacentral:lncRNA from 1 species